AGUCGACUGUCUUCCUCCUCCUUGGGAUCCCCUCCCGAUCCAAAACCACCAUCCACAGCCCGCCCCCGCUCCUCCUCAGUUUCCACGCCCAACCAACCAGUGCCUCCCCUGGAUCCCGUCGUCCACCCAACCAGCGCAGCCACCAGACCGGAGCUCCGUUGCCGGGAGCCAAAGGAAGCCGCCUUGGCCUGGGCUCGGCCUCAAGGUCCCGUCACCACCAUCUUCUACAGCUGCUGCCCCGCUGAUCGUCGGCACCCCUCGCCGAAGCAGGAGCUCCCAUGGCCGCCGCCGCGGAGCCUCCCGAGCACACCUGCGAGUGCAGGUCCGAACCCCGCCGUCCUCGUCUUCUCG